rnacentral:rRNA from 1 species
CAGCAGCCGCGGUAAUUCCGGCGGCCCGAGUGGCGGUCACUAUUAUUGGGCUUAAAGCGUCCGUAGCCGGGUUGGGAAGUCCUCCGGGAAAUCUGGCCGCUUAACGGUCAGAAUGCCGGAGGAUACUCCCAGCCUAGGGAGCGGGAGAGGCCGAGGGGAUUCCCGGAGUAGGGGGGAAAUCCUAUAAUCCCGGGAGGACCACCUGUGGCGAAGGCGCUCGGCUGGAACGCGUCCGACGGUGAGGGACGAAGGCCAGGGGAGCAAACCGGAUUAGAUACCCGGGUAGUCCUGGCUGUAAACGAUGCGGACUUUGUGUCGGACAAGCUAUGAGCUUGUCCGGUGCCGGAGGGAAACCGUUAAGUCCGCCGCCUGGGGAGUACGGCCGCAAGGCUGAAACUUAAAGGAAUUGGCGGG